CUUAAGGCUAUGCGGCUCCUUGUAGGUUUGGAUCAGUAGAAAACGAGCCUAAAUAAUUCUUUUACUGUUAAAAGUUGCCGAUCUCUGAUAAACUUUUAAAAGAAAACAGUUUCGUUUCUGUGAAACAAGUCACGGGGACAGAAGGACCCGCCUCCAUCCUGUGAGUCCACCCAGUAUAUAUAUCAAGUCUCUGGCCCCGCCCUCCAGCCAGAAGUUCGGUAAACAGCAGCGUCGGUUCGUCGGUUCCGUGACCGUCGGUCCACUUUCAGCUGUGGUGAUGAAGAACCGGAAGUUCGACUGAACAUGGACUUCCUCUGCGUUCUGGUUCUGCUCCCGCUCAGCGUCGGUGCCGUUGAUCCAGAACUCAUCAUCACAGCUGAACGUGGACAGAACGUCUCUCUGACGUGCCGCGCCCCCCCCCUCCUGGAGGCGGGGUUCUGGAGUGGAGGCGGGUCGACCUGGGGGAGGAGUUGGUCUUCAGGGCCGGGCUCCUGGAUUCGGACCUGCAGCAUCCGUCUUUCAGGGGCCGCGUGUUUCUGGAGGACGGCGGGACGGAGGACGGAGACCCGUCUGUGGUUCUGGAGCGGGUGGACACGGCGGACUCCGGGACGUACUGGUGCCGGGUCCUGCGGGGAGGCGGCGGCGCUCGGCCGGACUCCGGGCCCGUCGGCGCCGUCCGGCUGGUCGUGGUUCCAGAGCUGGAGCUCAUCCAGGCGCAGAGCGGCCAGAGCGUCACGCUGCCGUGCCGCGGCGCCCACGUGGACCCGCAGGUGA
rnacentral:lncRNA from 1 species